GAUGAGCGCUGGCGGCGUGCCUAAUACAUGCAAGUCGAGCGAACGGACGAGAAGCUUGCUUCUCUGAUGUUAGCGGCGGACGGGUGAGUAACACGUGGAUAUCCUACCUAUAAGACUGGGAUAACUUCGGGAAACCGGAGCUAAUACCGGAUAAUAUUUUGAACCGCAUGGUUCAAAAGUGAAAGACGGUCUUGCUGUCACUUAUGGAUGGAUCCGCGCUGCAUUAGCUAGUUGGUAAGGUAACGGCUUACCAAGGCAACGAUGCAUAGCCGACCUGAGAGGGUGAUCGGCCACACUGGAACUGAGACACGGUCCAGACUCCUACGGGAGGCAGCAGUAGGGAAUCUUCCGCAAUGGGCGAAAGCCUGACGGAGCAACGCCGCGUGAGUGAUGAAGGUCUUCGGAUCGUAAAACUCUGUUAUUAGGGAAGAACAUAUGUGUAAGUAACUGUGCACAUCUUGACGGUACCUAAUCAGAAAGCCACGGCUAACUACGUG
rnacentral:rRNA from 1 species